UGGAAAGAAACCAACAGGGAUUGCCUUAGUAACGGCGAGUGAAGCGGCAACAGCUCAAAUUUGAAAGCUGGCUCCUUCGGAGUCCGCGUUGUAAUUUGUAGAGGAUGAUUCGGCGAGGGCUCCCGCCUAAGUCCCCUGGAACGGGGCGUCAUAGAGGGUGAGAAUCCCGUAUGCGGUGGGUUGCCUUAGCCAUGUGAAUCUCCUUCGACGAGUCGAGUUGUUUGGGAAUGCAGCUCUAAAUGGGAGGUAAAUUUCUUCUAAAGCUAAAUACCGGCCAGAGACCGAUAGCGCACAAGUAGAGUGAUCGAAAGAUGAAAAGCACUUUGGAAAGAGAGUUAAAAAGUACGUGAAAUUGUUGAAAGGGAAGCGCUUGCAGCCAGACUUGUCCGCAGUUGCUCAACCGGUCUCCUGACCGGUGUACUCUUCUGCGGCCAGGCCAGCAUCAGUUCGGGCGGUCGGAUAAAGGCCCUGGGAAUGUAGCUCCUCUCGGGGAGUGUUAUAGCCCAGGGUGGAAUGCGGCCAGCCUGGACUGAGGAUCUCGCUUCGGCUAGGAUGCUGGCGUAAUGGCUGUAAGCGGCCCGUCUUGAAACACGGACCAAGGAGUCUAACAUCUAUGCGAGUGUUUGGGUGUCAAACCCAUGCGCGUAAUGAAAGUGAACGGAGGUGGGAACCCUCACGGGUGCACCAUCGACCGAUCCUGAUGUCUUCGGAUGGAUUUGAGUAAGAGCAUAGCUGUUGGGACCCGAAAGAUGGUGAACUAUGCCUGAAUAGGGUGAAGCCAGAGGAAACUCUGGUGGAGGCUCGCAGCGGUUCUGACGUGCAAAUCGAUCGUCAAAUUUGGGUAUAGGGGCGAAA
rnacentral:rRNA from 1 species